rnacentral:lncRNA from 1 species
UGACCAGUGUUUAGUAUUUCGAUCAUAUCUCAGGCUACAAAGCUCACAUUUGGAUGAUUCUUGAAGCAUUGGAAAGAUAACUCAAAUGGCUACAACUUUUGUGUUUUACACAAAAGUCAGUUCGGCCUUUAUGAUAGAGAAAAUCGCAGAUGAAGUAAGGCCAAAGUGAAUACGCGAGUACACAAAACGUGACUUGUAACCGCGUUUUGUGUAGGCGCGUUUUCUGGCCGCAAUUCUGCAAUUUGCUCAGUCAAUUCUCUUAUGUUCAAACUACUUUCCAGCUACAAUCUGCAAGAGAAUUCGGUGCACAUGCCUCAGAAGACAAAAGGGCAAUAAAGAUGGCUUAUUUUCAAGUCAAAAACAUUGAUUAUUGACUAUCCUAACAAAGUUAGAUUUGAAAAUCAAAAGUUGGAAUUUGACUUGGAAAAAGAGAGCCUUUGAGUAGUUUAUAUGCAGAGACAUUUGGGAGCCAAAAGAGGAUCA